CAGUAGCCGCGGUAAUACGUAGGGUGCGAGCGUUAAUCGGAAUUACUGGGCGUAAAGCGUGCGCAGGCGGUUAUAUAAGUCAGAUGUGAAAUCCCCGGGCUCAACCUGGGAACUGCAUUUGAGACUGUAUGGCUAGAGUGUGUCAGAGGGGGGUAGAAUUCCACGUGUAGCAGUGAAAUGCGUAGAUAUGUGGAGGAAUACCGAUGGCGAAGGCAGCCCCCUGGGAUAACACCGACGCUCAUGCACGAAAGCGUGGGGAGCAAACAGGAUUAGAUACCCCUGUAGUCCCUGUCUCUUAUAC
rnacentral:rRNA from 1 species